UACGAAGGGGGCUAGCGUUGCUCGGAAUCACUGGGCGUAAAGGGUGCGUAGGCGGGUCUUAAGUCAGGGGUGAAAUCCUGGAGCUCAACUCCAGAACGUGCCUUUGAUACUGAGGAUCUUGAGUUCGGGAGAGGUGAGUGGAACUGCGAGUGUAGAGGUGAAAUUCGUAGAUAUUCGCAAGAACACCAGUGGCGGAAGGCGGAG
rnacentral:rRNA from 1 species